rnacentral:rRNA from 1 species
GACGAACGCUGGCGGCGUGCUUAACACAUGCAAGUCGAACGGUAAGGCUCCAGCUUGCUGGGGUACACGAGUGGCGAACGGUUGAGUAACACGUGGGUGACCUGCCCUGCACUUCGGGAUAAGCCUGGGAAACUGGGUCUAAUACCGGAUAGGACCGCACCGUGAGGGUGUGGUGGAAAGUUUUUUCGGUGUGGGAUGGGCCCGCGGCCUAUCAGCUUGUUGGUGGGGUAAUGGCCUACCAAGGCGGCGACGGGUAGCCGGCCUGAGAGGGUGGACGGCCACAUGGGGACUGAGACACGGCCCAGACGCCUACGGGGGGCAGCAGGGGGGAAUAUGGCACAGUGGGCGAAGGCCUGUGGCAGCGCCCCCGGGGGGGGGAUGACGCCCUGCGGGUUAAAAACCCCUUCCACAAUCGACGAGGGUUUUCUGAGGGUAGAUGGAGAAAAAGCCCCGGCAACCUACGUC